rnacentral:rRNA from 1 species
CCUACGGGUGGCAGCAGUGGGGAAUAUUGGGCAAUGGGCGCAAGCCUGACCCAGCAACGCCGCGUGAAGGAAGAAGGCUCUUCGGUUGUAAACUUCUUUUAAUAGGGAAGAGCAGUAGACGGUACCUCUUGAAUAAGCCACGGCUAACUACGUGCCAGCAGCCGGGGUAAUACGUAGGUGGCAAGCGUUGUCCGGAUUUACUGGGUGGAAAGGGCGUGCAGCUGGGAAGGCAAGUCAGUCGUGAAAUCCCGCGGCUCAACCGCGGAACUGCAUUUGAAACUGUUUGACUUGAGUACCGGAGGGGGCAUCGGAAUUCCUGGUGUAGCAGUGAAAUGCGUAGAUAUAAGGAAGAACACCAGUGGCGAAGGCGGAUGACUGGACAGCAACUGACGGUGAAGCGCGAAGGCGUGGGGAGCGAACGGGAUUAGAUACCCGUGUAGUC